AGCGGAAGGAAGCAGAGCGAGCUGUUUGUUUGUGUGGCUGG
rnacentral:SRP_RNA from 16 species